UACGAAGGGGGCUAGCGUUGCUCGGAAUCACUGGGCGUAAAGCGCACGUAGGCGGCUUCUUAAGUCAGGGGUGAAAUCCUGGAGCUCAACUCCAGAACUGCCUUUGAUACUGAGAAGCUUGAGACCGGGAGAGGUGAGUGGAAUUCCCAGUGUAGCGGUGAAAUGCGUAGAUAUUGGGAGGAACACCAGUGGCGAAGGCGGCUCACUGGACCGGAACUGACGCUGAGGCGCGAAAGCGUGGGGAGCAAACAGG
rnacentral:rRNA from 1 species